GAGAUAAACUGCACAAGACUCGACUACAUAUUGGGCAGCUAGUGAAAGAUACUUCAGCUAAACUCAAGCAAGCGAGUGAAACGGAUCGCAAUGUUGGAGUUAGUACAACAAAAAAAAUUACUGAUGCAAAGCUCGCAAAGGAUUUUCAAGCAGUUCUGAAAGAGUUCCAAAAAGCUCAGCGCCUUGCAGCUGAAAGAGAGUCUGCGUAUGCCCCCCUUGUUCCACAA
rnacentral:misc_RNA from 1 species